rnacentral:rRNA from 1 species
UACGGAGGGUGCUAGCGUUGUUCGGAAUUACUGGGCGUAAAGCGCACGUAGGCGGCCGCCUAAGUCAGACGUGAAAUCCCUCGGCUCAACCGGGGAACUGCGUCUGAUACUGGGUGGCUUGAAUUCGGGAGAGGGAUGCGGAAUUCCAGGUGUAGCGGUGAAAUGCGUAGAUAUCUGGAGGAACACCGGUGGCGAAGGCGGCAUCCUGGACCGAGAGUGACGCUGAGGCGCGAAAGCCAGGGGAGCAAACGGG